rnacentral:rRNA from 1 species
AUUAGCGGCGGACGGGUGAGUAACACGUGAGUAGCCUGCCUUAGACAUUGGGAUAGCCUCGGGAAACCGGGAUUAAUACCAAAUAAAAUCAUAAUGACACAUGUCAUAACGAUCAAAACUCCGGUGGUCUAAGAUGGACUCGCGUCCCAUUAGCUAGUUGGUAGAGUAAAAGCCUACCAAGGCGACGAUGGGUAGCCGGCCUGAGAGGGUGAACGGCCACAUUGGAACUGAGAAACGGUCCAA